GACGUAGGAGACAAACGUUAUCCGGAGUUACUGGGCGUAAAGGGCGUGCAGGCGGUCGACUAAGUCUGGCGUGAAAGCUCUCGGCUAAACCGGGAGAGGUCGUUGGAUACUGGUUGACUAGAGGACGGUAGAGGCGUGUGGAAUUCCGGGUGUAGUGGUGAAAUGCGUAGAGAUCCGAAGGAACACCAGUGGCGAAGGCGACACGCUGGGCCGUACCUGACGCUGAUACGCGACAGCAUGGGGAGCGAACGGG
rnacentral:rRNA from 1 species